UACAGAGGUCUCGAGCGUUAGGCGGAAUCACUGGGCUUAAAGCGUGUGUAGGCGGGUCGGUAAGUACCUUGUGAAAUCCCACGGCUCAACCGUGGAACUGCUGGGUAUACUGCCGAUCCUUGUGCAACCUAGGGGCGAGCGGAACAGAUGGUGGAGCGGUGAAAUGCGUAGAUAUCAUCUGGAACGCCAAUGGUGAAAACAGCUCGCUGGGGGUUUGCAGACGCUGAGACACGAAAGCCAAGGGGAGCGAAC
rnacentral:rRNA from 1 species